rnacentral:misc_RNA from 1 species
GAAACAUAAAGGCUUAUUUUAAAUCCUUAAUUACAAUGCCACUGAGGAACUAUGCAAUAAAAGAAAAAACAAUUCUAGAUAGAAAGAAUAUUGUCAAUACUCCCCCUUAAGAUGGUGUAUAAAUAUCUAAUAUGCUCAUCUUGCAAACUAAAACCAUGAAAAGAUUUGCUACUAAUUCUCUUAGUGAAAAUAUCUACCAACUGAUUUUUAGAAAGCACAUGAGAAAUAUUCAUAGUUGCACAUUUUAGUUUCUCUUCAAUGAAAUGGCUGAUUGAUGUUGUUGAAAUUUAGAAGGAUAGAA